AGGUGAUUCACCCGUCUUGGCCUCCCAAAGUGCUGGGAUUACAGGCGUGAGCCACCGCACCCAGCCAAUUGAAGUUUUCCACAUGUACUCAUUCAAUUAGUCCCACUCAAAGAAUCUACGUUAAAACUGCCAUUAAAGAUAAGAGAAACAAAAUGUAGGUCACUCAGUUCAAAACAUGUUUAUUAAAAAUUGGGAUAUAUAUUCCCCCUAGGAAAGAAGGUAUAAUUGGAAGUUUACAAACAAAUGACUUUGCCAGUUACAGUAGGUAAGAGUAUUCUAGGCAGAGGAAUAAAUCUGUUAGGAAAAAGCCAUUAAUUUCUGUGGAAUCCUAAUCACCCUCUUAAAACAUACACUAAUACAACCACAAUUACAUUGGUAGUUGUCUUCGGCUUGUCACCCAUAGAAACUUCUAGAAUUACUCCAUCCUCAAAGACAGCAACAAUUCCCUCAUUAUGUAGUUACAAAAUUUAUUUUUUCCUCACUCUAAGCUUUCCAAGUUUAUGAAAAUUCUCAAUACUAUCUGCUCUAUUUUCCUGUAAGUCUGAAAUUGUUCUUAAAAAACAAAGAAUUUCACCAUUUAGAAAGCAUAAAUUUACAAAAAAAAAAAAAGGGAGUAGAGUAUGGCACAUGUCUUACAGAACUGAGUCUUAGCACUUAGAAGAAUAUAAAUCCUAGUAAUUUACAUAUUUAUUAUCUAGGGGCUUAUUCUGAAGCUUGUAUAUUCAGGUACAUAUUUAUAACUCCAUUUUGAAGUAUAAAGAAAAUAGUAAUAAUUAAGAACUAGAGUAUCUUCCAAUUCCAGUUUUUCUACUUAUUCUAGCUGCAUAAUCAUGACUAAGUUACUUAACCUCUUAGGCUACUGGUUAUACAUCUAUAAAAAGAAGGUAAUACUACAACCUACCACAUAGGUGAUGAAUUAAUUUCUGAAUAUUGAAGGAAAAAAAAAGCUUCAAGUUCCUAGACCAAAAAAUAACUGCCUACAUAGCAGAAAGAAGACUGGUACCAAAUUCUCUAUCUUCAACACUAGAAACCUGUAUUAUUUUUUAUUGUUGUGGAGUUUUAGAAUAUUUUUAAUGUGCAAAUGGUUGAAUCCUUGGAUGUGGAAUCUGUGCAUAAGGUGAACCAACUAUCAAGAAAACCAAUGGCAGAAUGAAAAUAUAACAGAAUACCACUGUAUUUUUUUCCCCAGAAAGAAAAGAAAAAUGAAGAUAAUCUAAUAAAAUUCAGGAAAAGUACAAUAUUUUAAAACUAAAUCAACAAAUAUAAGACAUAGAAUAAGCAUAUAAACAUUAUCACAAUAAAUUUUAUGAAUGGGUUGAAUUUUUUAGUUAAAAGACCUUCAGACAAAGAUAAAAACUAAAGUCUAACUACAGUAUUUAUGGUUUACAUAAUGUACCAUUUUUAUAAAAUACCAUAGUCAUAGAAUCCAGAUAGGCCAAUACGAUACCUAUUUGUUUACUCUGUAACUCCAAAUUUUAUACUUUCAGCCCUUUUCUCUGAAAUGCAUGUCUGUCUUUCAUAGCUUAACCUCAAUAAACCCAAAUAUCAAGUAAUAUUUUCCCACCCAAACAAGAUCUCAUUUAGUGUUUCCUAUGUCAUUGAAGGGUACCAAUAUUCUUACAGCUGUGUAAACCAGAAAUGCAGGACUCAUCCUUGACACCUCCUUUGUUUGCCUUGCUUCCCAUUAUUCAAGUCAUUACUAGGUCCUGCUGAUUUAAUCAAAUUUUUUUCUUUUUAAAUCCAUACAUUUCUCCCUAUCAAUAUGUCACCAUUCUGCAAAGCAAAUAUCAUUCUCACUACCGCAGCCUCCGAACUCAUCUCUCUACAUCCACUCCUGCCUUCUGUGCUUGACCAAAACCCAAGAUAGCCCACAAGAUUCCCUGGGGGUACAAGUUCUAUAUAAUUCCCUCCUCAUAAGUGUAGGCAGAACUGUAAAUACGAUGGAUUUCACUCCCAUAUGAAACUGAUGUCACAUGAUAAAAAUGAAAGGAUUUUAAAGAUAUAAAAACCCAAACCAGUUUAUUUUUUAAUCAAAGGGAGAUCACCCCAGACUUAUGACCCAUGGAAACUGCCAAGAUAUUAAGUCUGUAUUAUAUUAAGUUGCUAAGUUGCUUACAUAGCUGUAAAAAACUAAUACAUUCCUCCAAAUGGUUCUAAACACAUCUGCCAGAGUGCUCCUUUUAAAACAAAAAAACAAAUUAAGAUUUUUUUUUCUUAAAACACUUUAAGAGCUUUGCAUUACCCUUCAGAUAAAAUACUAAAACUGUUUAGUACUGUUCCCCAUAGUACCCCUAAUGCUUUGCACAUUUCUCGGCACAAAAAUAGAGUUUUUAUAUAUUUAUUAAAGAAAUAACAGCCGGGCGUGGUGGCUCACGCCUGUAAUCCCAAAACUUUGGAAGGCCAAGGCAGGUGAUCACAAGGGCAGGAGUUCGAGAUCAGCCUGACCAACAUGGUGAAACCCCAUCUCUACUAAAAAUACCAAAAAUUAGCUGGGCAUGGUGGCGGGCGCCUGUAAUCCCAGCUACUCGGGAGGCUGAAGCAGGAGAAUCACUUGAACCCAAGAGGCAGAGGUUGCAGUGAGCGAGAUCACACCACUGCACUCCAGCCCAGGUAAGAGUGCGAGACUCGUCUCAAAAAAAAUAAAUGAAUACACCAAACAAAAAUAAACAAAAAAAAAGUAGGGAAUACAAAAUAAUCUCAGAAGGUUACAUUCAAAGUUAAAAAUGAAAAUAAAUACUAAAAAAAAUUUGUAAUGAAAAAGGUGGUGUGGUCAUUAGAGAAACGCAAAUCAAAACCACAAUGAGAUACCAUCUCACGUGAGUCACAAUGGCUAUUGUUAAAAAGUCAGAAAAACGACAGAUGCUGGUGAGGUUGUGGAUAAAAAGAAACAUUUAUACACUGUUGGAGGGAGUGUAAAUUAUUUCAACCAUUGGGGAAGACAGUGUGGCAAUUCCUCAAGGACCUAAAAGUAAAACUACUAUUCAACCCAGUAAUCCAAUUACUGGGCAUAUAUCCAAAGGAAUAGAAAUCAUUCUAUCAUAAAGACACAUCCACGUAUAUGCUCACUGCAGCACUAUUCACAAUAGCAAAGACAUGGAAUCAACCUAAAUGCUCAUCAAUGACACACUGGAUAAAUAAAUGUGGUACUUAUACACCGUGGAAUACAAUGCAGCAUAAAUAAGAAGAAAACCACGUCCUUUGCAGGAAUUUGGAUGAAGCUGGAGACCAUUAUCCAUUGCAAACUAACGCAGGAACAGAAAACCAAACACAGCAUGUUCUCACUUCUAAGUGGAAACUAAAUGAUGAGAACACACGGAGACAUAAAGGGGGUGACAGAGAAUGGGAGGAGGGAGAGGAUCAGGAAAAGUAACUAACGGGUAGUAGGCUUAAUACCUGGGUGACGAAAUAAUCUCUACAACAAACCCCCAUGACACAAGUUUACCUAUAUAACAAACCUGCACUAUACCCCGGAACUUAAAAGUUAAAUUUUUUAAAAGAAGAAAAAGGUAGUGAAAGAAAAUGUAAAAAGCAAUGAAUCUUUAUUUUAUAUAAAAGAAAUAUAAAACUCUUAAAGAUUUGGCUUUCUUUUUUUUUUUUGUCUUUUUUUUUCUUUUUAUUAUUAUUAUUACACUUUUAAGUAUUAGGGUACAUGUGCACAAUGUGCAGGUUAGUUACAUAUGUAUACAUGUGCCAUGCUGGCGUGUUGCACCCAUUAACUCGUCAUUUAGCAUUAGGGAUAUCUCCUAAUGCUAUCCCUCCCCGCUUCCCCCACCGCACAACAGUCCCCAGAGUGUGAUGUUCCCCUUCCUGUGUCCAUGUGUUCUCAUUGUUCAAUUCCCAUCUAUGAGUGAGAACGUGCGGUGUUCGGUUUUUUGUCCUUGCGAUAGUUUACUGAGAAUGAUGAUUUCCAAUUUCACCCAUGUCCCUACAAAGGACAUGAACUCAUCAUUUUUUAUGGCUGCAUAGUAUUCCAUGGUGUGUAUGUGCCACAUUUUCUUAAUCCAGUCUAUCAAUGUCCAACAAAGAUUUGGCUUUCUUUUCAUUUAGAAAGAAGCUCUCACAGUGGAAGACUAUAAUAUGACAUAAGAAGAAAUGUGGACUUGGAGAUACAGAAGAGACAGGGUCUCGCUCUGUUACCCAGGCUGGAGUGUAGUGGCACGAUCUAAGGUCACUGCAACCUCCGCCUCUGGGGUUCAAGCCUCCCACCUCAGCCUACCAAGCAACUGGGACUACAGACAGGGUCUCAUUCCUGUUGCUCAGGCUGGAGUACAGUGGCAUGAUCUUGGCUCACUGCAGCUUCGACCUCCCGGGCUCAGGUGAUUCUCCCACCUCAGCCUCCCAAGCAACUGGAACUACCCAGCUAGUCCUACCAUGACCGGUUAGUUUUUUGUAUUUUUAAUAGAGACAUGGUUUCACCACAUUGCCCAGGCUAGUCCUGAACUCCCGGACUCAAGCAGUCCACCCACCUAGGCCUCCUAAAGUGCUAGAAUUACAGGCGUGAGCCACUGUGCCCAGCCUGUUACAUCUACAUUAGAUAUAUACAUAUAUAAUUAUUUAUAUAUUUUAUAUAUGUAAUUAUUUCCUAAUGAAAUAACAGACAACAUGGUAAUCAAACAAGGAAAGAAAGAAGUAUAUGUGAAAGUAUAAAAACCCUCAGAAAACACAUCAGAUGAGUCAGUAAAACUAGUUGUGAAUAGUCACACAUGCCUGUAAUCCCAGCUACUUGGAAGGCUGAGGUAGGAGGAUUGCUUGAGCUCAGGAGUUUGAGACCAGCCUGGGCAACACGCAUGACACCAUCUCAAGAAAAAAAAAAUUGUUGUGGAAUACCAGAUUAAUAAAUACUACUUUUUAAGCAUAAUCCUUGCAUUUCAGUUCCUAAAAUAGUCAAACAGUGGUAGACAUACUCUAAAUCUUCAAAACAAUAAGUGAGUCAUAAAUCUCUUUACUGUAAGUUCUCACAGUCCCUUGCACUUUCAAAAACCUCCUCACAUUUGCAUUUACAUUUUUAAUGCCUAUCUUCCUAGGGAAUAUUCUCUCAAGUACUUGGUGAAGUAUAUGAACUGUUAAUUGUCUUAUUAACUGCAGAUCCCCAGUGCGAAGUCAGUGCCAAAAACAAGUCAUUAUUUAGGUAAAUACAUAGUCAUUGAAUUAUUGAAUAAUAUAUAAAUAUUGAAUUGAAUGAAACAUUCCUUUUUCAGAAAUAAAGUGCUCAUUUGUUUUAUAAAAAGUAUUUAUCAAGUAUUUACCAUGUACAAGAAAAUCUGUUUUAGGCACUGUAAGCAUUAGUUAAUGAAUAUCUAAAGUUUAAAAUAAAGUUUUGAAAUGCUGUUACCAAUAUUUUUAUUCUCUACAUGGAAAGCUACACAUGCAUAGUUUAAAAAUUUAAAUUCACCACAAGUAAAGUUCUUUCUGAGAACCCAUGCAUUUAAUUUUAUUACUAUAAAAUUGCUUUCGAUAAGCAAUUUUAAGACAUUCUACUGACAUGCCAAUGUCCUACUCAUUAAAAUAAUUUUUUUUUGAGAUGGAGUGUCGCACUUGUUGCCCAGCUGCUGUGCAAUGACGCGAUGUCUGCUCAGUGCAACCUCUGCCUCCCGGGUUCAAGCAAUUCCCCUGCCUCAGCUUCUCAAGCAGCUGGGAUUACA